AGAGUUUGAUCCUGGCUCAGGACGAACGCUGGCGGCGUGCUUAACACAUGCAAGUCGAACGGAAAGGCCCCUUCGGGGGUGCUCGAGUGGCGAACGGGUGAGUAACACGUGGGUGAUCUGCCCUGCACUUCGGGAUAAGCUUGGGAAACUGGGUCUAAUACCGGAUAGGACCACGGCCUGCAUGGGUUGUGGUGGAAAGCUUUUGCGGUGUGGGAUGGGCCCGCGGCCUAUCAGCUUGUUGGUGGGGUGAUGGCCUACCAAGGCGACGACGGGUAGCCGGCCUGAGAGGGUGUCCGGCCACACUGGGACUGAGAUACGGCCCAGACUCCUACGGGAGGCAGCAGUGGGGAAUAUUGCACAAUGGGCGCAAGCCUGAUGCAGCGACGCCGCGUGGGGGAUGACGGCCUUCGGGUUGUAAACCUCUUUCACCAUCGACG
rnacentral:rRNA from 1 species